GGUAGCCGUACCGGAAGGUGCGGCUGGAUCACCUCCUAACAGGGAGACACACAAUGAUUUUGAUGCCUGAGUACUUUUAUUCUUAGGUCAGAAUCCUGUCACCUUAGGUCGAUCGGUACCUCAGCUUUGAGUUUAUCGAAUUUGUAGCAAUGCAAAUGAGGAUGAAGUCAAUUCUUAGUUCCUAAACUUUGUCUAGGUCACACCCCAAAAGGGAUGAGACUCCUGGGCCAUUAGCUCAGGUGGUUAGAGCGCACCCCUGAUAAGGGUGAGGUCCCUGGUUCAAGUCCAGGAUGGCCCAUUCGGUGUUGGGGGUUUAGCUCAGUUGGUAGAGCGCCUGCUUUGCAAGCAGGAUGUCAGGAGUUCGAGUCUCCUAACCUCCACUGACCGAACGUGAUCCCCAGCUUCUUAACAUUAGGAGUUGAGUGAUUUUGGUGUGUGAUUUGGAUGUGUCCGCUGGCGACCCCAGCUUCCUGUCAUUCUGAGAUUCAAUUAUCAAUUGAAUUUUGGUUGAUAAGAUGCUGGGCUCGGAUCAAGCGUCAACGUUAUCGUGAGAUGACUUUGAUGGUUUGAUUUGAAGUCUAGCAGAAC
rnacentral:tRNA from 1 species